rnacentral:rRNA from 1 species
AGUGAACGCUGGCGGUAGGCCUAACGCAUGCAAGUCGAACGGCAGCACAGGAGAGCUUGCUCUCUGGGUGGCGAGUGGCGGACGGGUGAGGAAUACAUCGGAAUCUGCCCAGUCGUGGGGGAUAACGUAGGGAAACUUACGCUAAUACCGCAUACGACCUUCGGGUGAAAGAGGGGGAUCGCAAGACCUCUCGCGAUUGGAUGAGCCGAUGUCGGAUUAGCUAGUUGGCGGGGUAAUGGCCCACCAAGGCGACGAUCCGUAGCUGGUCUGAGAGGAUGAUCAGCCACACUGGAACUGAGACACGGUCCAGACUCCUACGGGAGGCAGCAGUGGGGAAUAUUGGACAAUGGGCGCAAGCCUGAUCCAGCCAUACCGCGUGGGUGAAGAAGGCCUUCGGGUUGUAAAGCCCUUUUGUUGGGAAAGAAAUCUUUCAGGCUAAUACCCUGGGAGGAUGACGGUACCCAAAGAAUAAGCACCGGCUAACUUCGUG